CCAAUAGCGUAUAUUAAAGUUGUUGCAGUUAAAAAGCUCGUAGUUGAAUUUCGGGAUUAGUACGUUGGUCGUGCCUUCGGUACGUACUGGUGUUACUGAUUCCUACCUUCUGACGAACCAUCAUGUCAUUAAUUUGGUGUGGCGGGGAAUCAGGACUGUUACUUUGAAAAAAUUAGAGUGUUUAAAGCAGGCUCGCGCUUGAAUACAUUAGCAUGGAAUAAUGAAAUAGGACGUUGACCCUAUUUUGUUGGUUUCUAGGAUUGACGUAAUGAUUAAUAGGGAUAGUUGGGGGCAUUAGUAUUCAAUUGUCAGAGGUGAAAUUCUUGGAUUUAUUGAAGGCUAACUACUGCGAAAGCAUUUGCCAAGGAUGUUUUCAUUAAUCAAGAACGAAAGUUAGGGGAUCGAAGACGAUCAGAUACCGUCGUAGUCUUAACCAUAAACUAUGCCGACUAGGGAUCGGAUGAUGUUAUUUUUAAUGACUCAUUCGGCGCCUUACG
rnacentral:rRNA from 1 species